rnacentral:rRNA from 1 species
UACGUAGGGUGCGAGCGUUUGUCCGGAAUUAUUGGGCGUAAAGAGCUCGUAGGCGGUGUGUCACGUCGUUCGUGAAAACCUGCAGCUUAACUGUGGGCGUGCGGUCGAUACGGGCAUCACUGGAGUUCGGCAGGGGAGACUGGAAUUCCUGGUGUAGCGGUGAAAUGCGCAGAUAUCGGGAGGAACACCUAUGGCGAAGGCAGCUCGCUGGGACGUUACUGACGCUGAGACGCGAAAGCGUGGGGAGCAAACAGG